ACGGGUGAGUAACACGUGGGUGAUCUGCCCUGCACUUUGGGAUAAGCCUGGGAAACUGGGUCUAAUACCGAAUAUGACCAUGCGCCUUCUGGUGUGUGGUGGAAAGCUUUUGCGGUGUGGGAUGGGCCCGCGGCCUAUCAGCUUGUUGGUGGGGUAAUGGCCUACCAAGGCGACGACGGGUAGCCGGCCUGAGAGGGUGACCGGCCACACUGGGACUGAGAUACGGCCCAGACUCCUACGGGAGGCAGCAGUGGGGAAUAUUGCACAAUGGGCGCAAGCCUGAUGCAGCGACGCCGCGUGAGGGAUGACGGCCUUCGGGUUGUAAACCUCUUUCAGCACAGACGAAGCGCAAGUGACGGUAUGUGCAGAAGAAGGACCGGCCAACUACGUGCCAGCAGCCGCGGUAAUACGUAGGGUCCGAGCGUUGUCCGGAAUUACUGGGCGUAAAGAGCUCGUAGGUGGUUUGUCGCGUUGUUCGUGAAAACUCACAACUCAAUUGUGGGCGUGCGGGCGAUACGGGCAGACUUGAGUACUGCAGGGGAGACUGGAAUUCCUGGUGUAGCGGUGGAAUGCGCAGA
rnacentral:rRNA from 1 species